rnacentral:rRNA from 1 species
UACGUAGGGACCGAGCGUUGUCCGGAUUCAUUGGGCGUAAAGCGCGCGUAGGCGGCCCGGUAAGUCGGAUGUGAAAUCUCACGGCUCAACCGUGGAACUGCAUUCGAUACUGUCGGGCUAGAGGCAGGUAGGGGAGAUCGGAAUUCCCGGUGUAGCGGUGAAAUGCGCAGAUAUCGGGAGGAACACCGGUGGCGAAGGCGGAUCUCUGGGCCUGUCCUGACGCUCAGGCGCGAAAGCUAGGGGAGCGAACAGG